CCAAUAGCGUAUAUUAAAGUUGUUGCAGUUAAAAAGCUCGUAGUUGAAUUUCGGGAUUAGUACGCUGGUCAUGCCUUUGGUAUGUACUGGUGUUACUGAUUCCUACCUUCUGAAGAACCGUUAUGUCAUUUAUUUGGUGUAGCGGGGAAUCAGGACUGGUACUUUGAAAAAAUUAGAGUGUUUAAAGCAGGCUCGCGCUUGAAUACAUUAGCAUGGAAUAAUGAAAUAGGACGUUGAUCCUAUUUUGUUGGUUUCUAGGAUUGACGUAAUGAUUAAUAGGGAUAAUUGGGGGCAUUAGUAUUCAAUUGUCAGAGGUGAAAUUCUUGGAUUUAUUGAAGACUAACUACUGCGAAAGCAUUUGCCAAGGAUGUUUUCAUUAAUCAAGAACGAAAGUUAGGGGAUCGAAGACGAUCAGAUACCGUCGUAGUCUUAACCAUAAACUAUGCUGACUAGGGAUCGGAUGAUGUUAUUUUUAAUGACUCAUUCGGCGCCUUACU
rnacentral:rRNA from 1 species